AGAGUUUGAUCCUGGCUCAGGAUGAACGCUAGCGACAGGCUUAACACAUGCAAGUCGAGGGGCAGCGGUGGUGAAGGCUUGCCUUCACCAGCCGGCGACCGGCGCACGGGUGAGUAACACGUAUGCAACCUGCCUGCCACAGCCGGAUAAUCGGGAGAAAUCCCGUCUAAUACGGCAUAAUGCAUCGACGGGACAUCCUGUUGGUGCCAAAGGUUAAUUCCGGUGGCGGAUGGGCAUGCGUCGCAUUAGUUAGUUGGCGGUGUAACGGACCACCAAGACGACGAUGCGUAGGGGUUCUGAGAGGAAGGUCCCCCACACUGGUACUGAGACACGGACCAGACUCCUACGGGAGGCAGCAGUGAGGAAUAUUGGUCAAUGGGCGGGAGCCUGAACCAGCCAAGUCGCGUGAGGGAUGACGGCUCUAUGGGUUGUAAACCUCUUUUGCCGGGGAGCAAAGUGCCGCACGUGUGCGGUUUGGAGAGUACCCGGAGAAAAAGCAUCGGCUAACUCCGUGCCAGCAGCCGCGGUAAUACGGAGGAUGCGAGCGUUAUCCGGAUUUAUUGGGUUUAAAGGGUGCGUAGGCGGACGCUUAAGUCAGCGGUAAAAUUGCGGGGCUCAACCUCGUCGAGCCGUUGAAACUGGGUGCCUUGAGUGGGCGAGAAGUACGCGGAAUGCGUGGUGUAGCGGUGAAAUGCAUAGAUAUCACGCAGAACUCCGAUUGCGAAGGCAGCGUACCGGCGCCCAACUGACGCUGAAGCACGAAGGCGUGGGUAUCGAACAGGAUUAGAUACCCUGGUAGUCCACGCAGUAAACGAUGAA
rnacentral:rRNA from 1 species